rnacentral:misc_RNA from 1 species
GAAAUGCGAUAAGUAAUGUGAAUUGCAGAAUUCAGUGAAUCAUCGAAUCUUUGAACGCACAUUGCGCCCGCUAGUAUUCUGGCGGGCAUGCCUGUCUGAGCGUCAUUUCACCAAUCCCCCGGGCAUUCUUGUCGGGGGGCUGUUGGGGAUCGUCGACCGCCCCCGGGCGGGCGCCGUCCCCUAAACCUAGUGGCAGCCUCGCCGCGGCCUCCCUGCGUAGUAAACACUCUCGCAGGCGGAGUCGCAGCGAACGAUCGCCGUAAAAACCCCCAACUUCUUAAUGGUUGACCUCAGAUCAGGUAGGAAUACCCGCUGAACUUAA